GACGAACGCUGGCGGCGUGCUUAACACAUGCAAGUCGAACGGAAAGGCCCUGCUUUUGUGGGGUGCUCGAGUGGCGAACGGGUGAGUAACACGUGAGUAACCUGCCCUUGACUUUGGGAUAACUUCAGGAAACUGGGGCUAAUACCGGAUAGGAGCUCCUGCUGCAUGGUGGGGGUUGGAUAGUUUCGGCGGUUGGGGAUGGACUCGCGGCUUAUCAGCUUGUUGGUGGGGUAGUGGCUUACCAAGGCUUUGACGGGUAGCCGGCCUGAGAGGGGGACCGGCCACAUUGGGACUGGGAUACGGCCCAGACUCCUACGGGAGGCAGCAGUGGGGAAUAUUGCACAAUGGGCGGAAGCCUGAUGCAGCAACGCCGCGUGCGGGAUGACGGCCUUCGGGUUGUAAACCGCUUUCGCCUGUGACGAAGCGUUAGUGACGGUAAUGGGUAAAGAAGCACCGGCUAACUACGUG
rnacentral:rRNA from 1 species